GAUUAGCCUGCGUCCGAUUAGCUAGUUGGUGGGGUAAAGGCCUACCAAGGCGACGAUCGGUAGCUGGUCUGAGAGGAUGGCCAGCCACACUGGAACUGAGACACGGUCCAGACUCCUACGGGAGGCAGCAGUGGGGAAUAUUGGACAAUGGGGGGAACCCUGAUCCAGCAAUGCCGCGUGUGUGAAGAAGGCCUGAGGGUUGUAAAGCACUUUCAGUGGGGAGGAGGGUUGAUAGGUUAAGAGCUGAUUAACUGGACGUUACCCACAGAAGAAGCACCGGCUAACUCCGUGCCAGCAGCCGCGGUAAUACGGAGGGUGCGAGCGUUAAUCGGAAUUACUGGGCGUAAAGGGUGCGUAGGUGGUUUAUUAAGUUAUCUGUGAAAUCCCCGGGCUCAACCUGGGCAGGUCAGAUAAGACUGGUAGACUGGAGUAUAGGAGAGGGUAGUGGAAUUUCCGGUGUAGCGGUGAAAUGCGUAGAGAUCGGAAGGAACACCAGUGGCGAAGGCGGCUACCUGGCCUAAUACUGACACUGAGGCACGAAAGCGUGGGGAGCAAACAGGAUUAGAUACCCUGGUAGUCCACGCUGUAAACGAUGUCAACUAGCUGUUGG
rnacentral:rRNA from 1 species